UACAGAGGGGGCGAGCGUUGUUCGGAAUUACUGGGCGUAAAGGGCGCGUAGGCGGCCCGCUAAGUCGAACGUGAAAUCCCCAGGCUCAACCUGGGAACUGCGUCCGAUACCGGCAGGCUUGAAUCCGGGAGAGGGAUGUGGAAUUCCUGGUGUAGCGGUGAAAUGCGCAGAUAUCAGGAGGAACACCAGCGGCGAAGGCGGCGCUCUGGGCCGGUACUGACACUGAGGAGCGAAAGCGUGGGUAGCAAACAGG
rnacentral:rRNA from 1 species